GCAAAGACUGGGAACGGGAAGAGUAGGCGGUCAGCCCUUUCAGAGAGCGGGGAGCAGCAGCUGUGAGCCUCCGCAGGAUAAUGACAGCCGAAGUCGCCCUGGAGUCGCGCGUUUGAGCCGGAGAAUUCCGUGAGGAAGCCGGUUAGAACCCGCCGGCCGCAGACCGUUACUUCUGCAUGAAGUGUCGCAUGUUCAAGAGGACUGCUUGCAUUCCUUGAUUUGUAUUGCAUGCGAAACAAAGGUGGUACCGCGAAAGAAUGGCCUUUCGUCCUUUGA
rnacentral:ncRNA from 1 species